UACUCGAGUGGCGAACGGGUGAGUAACACGUGGGUGAUCUGCCCUGCACUUCGGGAUAAGCUUGGGAAACUGGGUCUAAUACCGGAUAGGAGCCAUCUUUAGUGUGGUGGUUGGAAAGUUUUUUCGGUGUAGGAUGAGCUCGCGGCCUAUCAGCUUGUUGGUGGGGUAAUGGCCUACUAAGGCGGCGACGGGUAGCCGGCCUGAGAGGGUGUACGGCCACAUUGGGACUGAGAUACGGCCCAG
rnacentral:rRNA from 1 species